UGGACUCAUGAGGCUCUCUUGUAAAAAGCGGGUUUCCCGCUCAAGAGAGCCGAGGUUACAGAAAGCUUUAAAAACCUAUCCUAGUCAAUAAGGUUAGGC
rnacentral:sRNA from 1 species